rnacentral:rRNA from 1 species
UUAAGAUGGAAAUUUUUACCAGGUUAUUAUUAGUUAUUUUCUUGAAAAUUAAAAAAUUUGGCGGUAUUUUAGUCUUUUCAGAGGAACCUGUUACGUUAUUGAUAUUCCACGAUAAUUUGUACUUUUUUUAUUAGUUUGUAUAUCGUCGUUGUUGAAUAUUUUUAUAGAAUUAAAUAUUCAUGAUUCUAUUUAGGGAAGAAAUCAGAUCAAGAUGCAGUUUAUAAAAAAGUGUUAAUGGGUUACAAUAAUUUUAUUUAGACGGAGAGAUUUAUUUAAAAUUUUCUUGAAGGUGGAUUUGACAGUAAUUUUAUCUAUUUUGUUAAGGUGAUUAAGCUCUAAAAUAUGU